UUGACGGGGGCCCGCACAAGCGGUGGAGCAUGUGGUUUAAUUCGAAGCAACGCGAAGAACCUUACCAGGUCUUGACAUCCCGAUGCUAUUUCUAGAGAUAGAAAGUUACUUCGGUACAUCGGUGACAGGUGGUGCAUGGUUGUCGUCAGCUCGUGUCGUGAGAUGUUGGGUUAAGUCCCGCAACGAGCGCAACCCUAUUGUUAGUUGCCAUCAUUCAGUUGGGCACUCUAGCGAGACUGCCGGUAAUAAACCGGAGGAAGUGGGGAUGACGUCAAAUCAUCAUGCCCCUUAUGACCUGGGCUACACACGUGCUACAAUGGUUGGUACAACGAGUUGCGAGUCGGUGACGGCGAGCUAAUCUCUUAAAGCCAAUCUCAGUUCGGAUUGUAGGCUGCAACUCGCCUACAUGAAGUCGGAAUCGCUAGUAAUCGCGGAUCAGCACGCCGCGGUCGAAUACGUUCCCGGGCCUU
rnacentral:rRNA from 1 species